UCAGGAUGAACGCUAGCUACAGGCUUAACACAUAGCAAGUCGAGGGGAAACGAUAUUGGAAGCUUGCUUCUGAUAGGCGUCGACCGGCGCACGGGUGAGUAACGCGUAUCCAACCUGCCCAUCACUUGGGGAUAACCUUGCGAAAGUAAGACUAAUACCCAAUGACGUCUCUAGAAGACAUCUGAAGGAGAUUAAAGAUUUAUCGGUGAUGGAUGGGGAUGCGUCUGAUUAGCUUGUUGGCGGGUAACGGCCCACCAAGGCGACGAUCAGUAGGGGUUCUGAGAGGAAGGUCCCCCACAUUGGAACUGAGACACGGUCCAAACUCCUACGGGAGGCAGCAGUGAGGAAUAUUGGUCAAUGGGCGAGAGCCUGAACCAGCCAAGUAGCGUGCAGGAUGACGGCCCUAUGGGUUGUAAACUGCUUUUAUAAGGGAAUAAAGUGGGAGUCGUGACUCUUUUUGCAUGUACCUUAUGAAUAAGGACCGGCUAAUUCCGUG
rnacentral:rRNA from 1 species